GACGAACGCUGGCGGCGUGCUUAACACAUGCAAGUCGAACGGAAAGGCCCUGCUUUUGUGGGGUGCUCGAGUGGCGAACGGGUGAGUAACACGUGAGUAACCUGCCCUUGACUUUGGGAUAACUUCAGGAAACUGGGGCUAAUACCGGAUAGGAGCUCCUGCUGCAUGGUGGGGGUUGGAAAGUUUCGGCGGUUGGGGAUGGACUCGCGGCUUAUCAGCUUGUUGGUGGGGUAGUGGCUUACCAAGGCUUUGACGGGUAGCCGGCCUGAGAGGGUGACCGGCCACAUUGGGAUUGGGAUACGGCCCAGACGCCUACGGGAGGCAGCAGUGGGGAAUAUUGCACAAUGGGCGGAAGCCUGAUGCAGCAACGCCGCGUGCGGGAUGACGGCCUUCGGGUUGUAAACCGCUUUCGCCUGUGACGAAGCGUGAGUGACGGUAAUGGGUAAAGAAGCACCGGCUAACUACGU
rnacentral:rRNA from 1 species